ACAAGCGGUGGAUGAUGUGGAUUAAUUCGAUAGCAACGCGAAAACCUUACCUACCCUUGACAUGUCCGGAAUCCGAAGAGAUUUGGGAGUGCUCGCAAGAGAACCGGAACACAGGUGCUGCAUGGCUGUCGUCAGCUCGUGUCGUGAGAUGUUGGGUUAAGUCCCGCAACGAGCGCAACCCUUGUCAUUAGUUGCCAUCAUUUGGUUGGGCACUCUAAUGAGACUGCCGGUGACAAACCGGAGGAAGGUGGGGAUGACGUCAAGUCCUCAUGGCCCUUAUAGGUGGGGCUACACACGUCAUACAAUGGAUGGUACAAAGGGUCGCCAACCCGCGAGGGGGAGCCAAUCCCAUAAAGCCAUUCGUAGUCCGGAUCGUAGUCUGCAACUCGACUGCGUGAAGUCGGAAUCGCUGGUAAUCGUGGAUCAGAAUGUCACGGUGAAUACGUUCCCGGGUCUU
rnacentral:rRNA from 1 species